rnacentral:rRNA from 1 species
GACGAACGCUGGCGGCGUGCUUAACACAUGCAAGUCGAACGGAAAGGCCCUGCUUGCAGGGUACUCGAGUGGCGAACGGGUGAGUAACACGUGGGUGAUCUGCCCUGCACUUCGGGAUAAGCCUGGGAAACUGGGUCUAAUACCGGAUAGGAGCCAUUUUUAGUGUGAUGGUUGGAAAGUUUUUUCGGUGUAGGAUGAGCUCGCGGCCUAUCAGCUUGUUGGUGGGGUAAUGGCCUACCAAGGCGGCGACGGGUAGCCGGCCUGAGAGGGUGGACGGCCACAUUGGGACUGGGAUACGGCCCAGACUCCUACGGGAGGCAGCAGUGGGGAAUAUUGCAAAAUGGGGGCAAGCCUGAUGCAGCGACGCCGCGUGGGGGAUGACGGCCUUCGGGUUGUAAACUCGUUUCGCUAGGGACGAAGCUUUUUGUGACGGUACCUAGAUAAGAAGCACCGGCUAACUACGUG